UGCAAGUCGAGCGAACAGACGAGGAGCUUGCUCCUYUGAYGUUAGCGGCGGACGGGUGAGUAACACGUGGAUAACCUACCUAUAAGACUGGGAUAACUUCGGGAAACCGGAGCUAAUACCGGAUAACAUGUUGAACCGCAUGGUUCAACAGUGAAAGACGGUCUUGCUGUCACUUAUAGAUGGAUCCGCGCCGCAUUAGCUAGUUGGUAAGGUAACGGCUUACCAAGGCAACGAUGCGUAGCCGACCUGAGAGGGUGAUCGGCCACACUGGAACUGAGACACGGUCCAGACUCCUACGGGAGGCAGCAGUAGGGAAUCUUCCGCAAUGGGCGAAAGCCUGACGGAGCAACGCCGCGUGAGUGAAGAAGGUCUUCGGAUCGUAAAACUCUGUUAUUAGGGAAGAACAAAUGUGUAAGUAACUAUGCACGUCUUGACGGUACCUAAUCAGAAAGCCACGGCUAACUACGUGCCAGCAGCCGCGGUAAUACGUAGGUGGCAAGCGUUAUCCGGAAUUAUUGGGCGUAAAGCGCGCGUAGGCGGUUUUUUAAGUCUGAUGUGAAAGCCCACGGCUCAACCGUGGAGGGUCAUUGGAAACUGGAAAACUUGAGUGCAGAAGARGAAAGUGGAAUUCCAUGUGUAGCGGUGAAAUGCGCAGAGAUAUGGAGGAACACCAGUGGCGAAGGCGACUUUCUGGUCUGUAACUGACGCUGAUGUGCG
rnacentral:rRNA from 1 species